rnacentral:snRNA from 1 species
AGUGGCAGAGGGUGGUACAAUAAACAAUCCCCUCGCCUUUUACUAGGGGAUUUCGUGUACCGCCCUCGCCUCGAUGCCACGAAACGAAUUUUCAGACUGACUGAACUU